CUCCUCCAAGAAUCAAGAAAGCAAAAAAAGGCAAGAAACACAUGACUAGGAAGGAAAGAGAAGUUGCAAAAAAUGAGGAAAAGCAUUUAUUGAUGCCAAAAAUAAAAUUAGAAGAAAACAUCAAUGAAAUUGAUGAUGCAAUGGUUGAUCAAAUCUCUGCAGUGGAUGAAGACUGUUCACAAGGAAUGAAAAAAUGGCUUAUUGAACACAAACAAAGAAGACCUGGACUGAAGAUUUUGCAACAAAGAAUUGAUGAAUUCAUAAUUGCUCAUGAAGAGGAGCAGGAACAGG